GGACAUGGAAGACUGCUUUCUAACAGUCCCAGAGCUUCCUUCUUCUCCUGAAUGUGAGCUGAAAACUCUUUCAUGAUGAUAAUUGGAGCUGCAUUGGCUUAUGUUAUCAGGAUCACUAGACUUGCUCAUACCCAAAUGACCAAUCAUCUUCUCUGAGUUCUUCUCACUUGAUUUAUCAUGAAUGGAAAGAUAAAGGUUCUC
rnacentral:misc_RNA from 1 species